AGAUCAACGGACUGACUACACAGACAGUCACACUACUAAUACUAUCACUAGGCCAUGGCAUGAGUGCGGAUGCAGAAAAUCGCUCGUAGAAUCUACUGGCGCAGACUUCUACUAGUAGUAGUAGUAGUAUCAGUAGUAUGGCGGUAGGACUAGGAGUAGAGCCAGAGGCUUGUCGUCGUGCUGUUUCCUGCCUUCGACCAGACUAUGUCAUCCUGAGUAUCUACACUGCAAGCGUUUCCUCGGCGAAGCAAGUUAAAAUUUAUUUGUGGCGAAGCAAGCUAGAAUUUAUUUGCACAAUCUUACUCUUUGCCUCUAAGUGACCAGAACAUAGUGAUCAGAACAGGCCAGCCGGUUAUUGAAGCGUGGCGCAUAGUCCAUAAAUAACGUAGUCAUGAAGGGAUGCCGCAGUUCGCUAUUUCUACCUUCAAAUGCUACAUCUGUUGAAGAGGAUAGGUUUCUAGCGGGUUCACGGAUUUAUUCAGACAUGGACUUGGAAGAAAGGUGAGGUUGAAACAUAGCUGUACAAAUACACAACUAGUUACCUGGACAUGAAUGCUGCUAAAUUUAUCACUGGAUAAAUAUCAAGGUCAAGCUAGCUGUUGGUAUCAGCGCCGCCGCUACUGUUGCUGCUGUCACCACCAAAUCACCGCUGCUGCUGCGGGUGUCGCCACCAGCACCGCCCUACUGCUGCUGUCACCACCAGCAUUGCCGCUAGUGCUGCUGUCACCGCCAGCACCUCUCCUAGUCUCCCACUCUCCUAGUCUCCCACUCUCCUACUCUCCUAAGCCACCAGCGUCGCCGGCUCUGCUGCUGUCACCACCAACACAGCUGCUGCUUGAGAACGGGUUUAUUCACAACACCAAUUGGGCUAAUCGCGUUAAACCAUGAAGUGACUAAGGAUUUCCGGACGAGACAGCAAGGACGGCCCAAGACUUGGUGUACGGUUGGCUCAUCUCAUAGUCUAACUGACAUACUUCGAUCAGUGCUUUCAAAGAGAACAUCUCCUCUCGCAGAUAGAGUCCUUCUAGACCAGAGACUUGACGUUCGGUUGGCUCAUCUCAUAGUCUAGCUGACAUAAUCAGUGCUUUGAGAGAGAACAUCUCCUCUCGCAGAUAGAGUCCUCCUAAACCUGAGCUUGCCUGUGCAAAUCGUCUCGUCUACCAUUCCAAGUGAUGAACAUGGCUUCAUUGCGUAUUUUGCACCGUCUUUGCAAGUCACAAUUACACUUACCGUGGUGUGACAGAAUACUACGGUUGUACACAUCCAGUUGCAGCUCAAGCCAGAAAGCAGCCAGCAUUCUGCUGGCGUACGUGAGCAACGGUUGCUGUUGGAAUUGUCCAUUGCAGAGAACAGCUUUACUGACCUGCCAUAUAUCACGUGAUCCAGUCCAUGCAGCCGGUAGACCUGUAUUGAUGGAUGCAGCAGCUGUCCUGCAUUGUGACUAUAGACCUUUGAGGGUUUCAGGGAUAUGGAUUCUGCUCGUGCAAUAUUGCCUGUGAUCAUGGUGAUGGCCGCCUAGUAGCUAGCCCAGCAGAUUUAUCAGAACCAGCAGAUACAGCAGCUGAGCCAGCCAUAGCUAUCACUGCAACAGACUCGGCAGGAAGAGCAGUUGCCAUUGCAGCUAACACUGCAGCAGACACAGCGGCAAGAGCAGAUGCCAUGGCAGCAACCACUGCAACAGAUGCCAUGGCAGCAACAACAGUGGCCAUGGUAGCAGCAAACACCGCAUCUGCUGCACCAGGCAGUGACUGUAUUCGUUUGAAAACUAGUGGGCAGACUGCUCACAGCAGCAAUGCCAAAGAUGAGUCAGAGCGGCUCAGUCUUCAGCAGCAGUAAGCAGCAGUAAGCAGCAGUAAACAGGAUGCAGUGCACUUCGCAAAGUGAGCACCUUAGCAAGAAAGAUGUUGUUUUUCUUCCUUUUUUCCACACACCGAGCAGCAGUGGGAGUGUUGCAUCACUGUUUGCACAUGCCAAUGGACAGGUUCGAAGUAUGUGAGCCUAUGGUAUCCAUCAAAUCACUGAAAACGUUUUGACAUCUCUGCCUUUCUGUCAUACUUUGGCGAAAGCUUAAUUUUAGUUUCGACUCUCAGACCCAGAUUCCGUCUGUUGGAGUGCGCAUCCAAGACGGGCUAUAGCUGAUAGCCAGUUAUUUGUACUUCGAAGUAGAACGUCAGUACCGUCGUUCAAUGUUAUCGCAUGAGCUGAGUGUCAGGUAACUGAUGGUAGUGCACAUUAUAACGUAACGCGUAGUUCCUUGGUCCUUUUCUUACUUUAAUUUAUUUCCAUAUUAUUGGACUCAAGAGUGCUAUGUUGCAGCUAGCCCAUCAUGACAGCGCUGACUUUUUGGGUCCAGUUUUCAUAUAGAUUCAUACACAUUUGGGUGUUUUUUCCUUCACAGCAUUUUGACACUUCGUUCGACCUGUGGACUACGGCGAAUUAUGAUUGCGAAAUUGUGGAAUUAUGCUUCCAUGGAUGCUCGCACAAUGCUCGCAAACUCUUUAUAAUAUAAACGAUUUUGCGAGCGUUAUUUUUUAUGCUUUGUAACUGAUCCUUUAGAAAGCUUUGGGAUGCGGGGAUAUUUUAUUCAGUGUGUUGUAAUUGUACGUA